rnacentral:rRNA from 1 species
UACGGAGGAGGCAAGCGUUAUCCGGAAUUAUUGGGCGUAAAGCGUCCGUAGGUGGGAGUUCGUGUCAGUUGUUAAAGCGUGGAGCUUAACUCCAUAAGAGCAAUUGAAACUGGACAUCUAGAGUGCGAUAGGGGCAAGGGGAAUUCCCAGUGUAGCGGUGAAAUGCGUAGAUAUUGGGAAGAACACCGGUGGCGAAAGCGCCUUGCUGGGUCUGCACUGACACUGAGGGACGAAAGCUAGGGGAGCGAAA